rnacentral:tRNA from 1 species
AUUUAUUUAGCUCAGUUGGUUAGAGCAUGAUGCUGACGACGCCAAGGCUGCAGGUUCUAUCCCCAUAAGGGACA